GCGUGGGUUUGGGUUUAUGGCAGGCCUAUCCCUCUGGGUCUCUCAUAGAGUCCCAUGCCAGAGCAAACUGUGGCCUUGAACCAUUGCCUGGCCUCUGCCCAUAGGCUGCAGGCACUGAAGUGGUUUACACAGUG